UGCGCAGGCGGUCUGGUCAGUCAGUGGUGAAAUCCCGUGGCUCAACUACGGAACUGCCAUUGAUACUGCCAGACUUGAAUACGGUUGAGGUAGGCGGAAUGUAGCAUGUAGCGGUGAAAUGCAUAGAUAUGCUACAGAACACCGAUCGCGAAGGCAGCUUACCAAGCCGAUAUUGACGCUCAGGCACGAAAGCGUGGGGAGCGAACA
rnacentral:rRNA from 1 species